AGCCGGCUAACAUUCAACGUGAGGGUCGUAAAGUUCGGUAUUCUGCCAGGAAAACUUGCUACUACAAAACUCAAAUCUUAAGGGCGCCAGAUCUAGCGAGGUAAUAAAUCCUCUUGAUCAAGGAGGAUAGGCUCUUCCAAGCAUAGCAUAAUGAAGGUGAAAAAAACUAGGUAUUGUGGCAGAGAGGAAUUUAAUACGUCUGUAUUUCGAUUUAAAAUUAAAUAUGAUUAUUAUGUAACUACAAAUUAUAAUUGUGGUGUGAAGCACGGUAACAAUAAUAAGAAAAAAAACUAAUAGGAUUAAUUCGUCCACACCGCAAAUAAUCAACAGUGUCAACAAUAUCUUACUACGGUAAUUAAUACGGGUUCUGGAUUCGCUAGCUAGCCCCGCACCCUGUUUAUAUUUGGGCCAAAUAGAGGUUCGUACAAAUAGACCUCCCAAACUGAGAACAAAACGAAUUUUCCUUCACAGUUUACAUAGCCCUUGAAGAGGGUUCAUCAACUCAAAGCCACAAAAAUUAACAAACGCAGAUGCAGCAAGGUAAGGUACCAGUAAGUGCCAGAUUUUAGGCAGCGGAACAAAAAAAGCUGAAAGUUAUGAGAUACUCUAUAUCUAGCUUAAGAGAUACCUAAUUCUUACCUAGAUGUUAUAGCUUGCAACUCGUCCGCAAUGUUCUAAACUACAAAUUACAAAGUUUUAAUACUACA